GACAGAGGGUGCAAACGUUUGUUCGGAUUUACUGGGCGUAAAGGGCGCGUAGGCGGUGCGGUAAGUCACCUGUGAAAACCCCCGGGCUCAACUCGGGGCCUGCAGGCGAAACUGCCGUGCUGGAGUGCGGAAGAGGUGAGUGGAAUUCCGGGUGUAGCGGUGGAAUGCGUAGAGAUCCGGAAGAACACCGGUGGCGAAGGCGGCCUGCUGGGCAGUUGCUGACACUGAGGCGCGACAGCGUGGGGAGCAACAGG
rnacentral:rRNA from 1 species